GCAAAAGUUGUGAGAAGGGCAAUUACGAUGGUAAGAACAUGUGCAUUGUAAACUAGCAAAUGCACCAUUGGAAGGUAGAACAUAUUAAAAUUGCAUGAAAAUGAGGGGUAGACCCAAUAAGAAGCAGGGAAAGGGGUGAAAUGAUCCAUAUUGUUGACACCCCAACUAGUUUGGGAUUAACGCUAAGUUGAGUUGAGUAGAGUAGCAUUACAUCUGCUCUUAUGCACAUGACAAUAGUGACUAAAAAUUUUCAGUUGGUUCUCUAUAGCACCA
rnacentral:misc_RNA from 1 species